GCCGAACCUUUGCAUGAUCACCAAUCACCUCCUCUUCAAAGUACUGCUCAAGCUUGGACCACCAUCCUUGAAAGUUCUCACCAUCAAAUGACGGGCAUUCCAUCCUAAAAGUGGAACGAUUAGCUUCCACCAUCACUCCACGUGAAGACAUGCUUGAAUGGCCUAGAUCUGCCAUCGGAGAUACUAUUAGGUGUUCUUAAGAUGGGAAACUAGGUGGUGACCCCA
rnacentral:lncRNA from 1 species